GACGAACGCUGGCGGCGUGCCUCAUACAUGCAAGUAGGACGCAGUUGCGAACGGGUGAGUAACGCGUAGGUAACUACCUAUUAGAGGGGGAUAACUAUUGGAAACGAUAGCUAAUACCGCAUACUAGUAGAUGGACCUGCGUUGUAUUAGCUAGUAGGUAGGGUAAUGGCAUAACUAGGCAACGAUACAUAGCCGACCUGAGGUGUGGAUCUGCCACACUGGGCCUGAGACACGGCCCAGACGCCGACGGUAGGCAGCAGCAGGGAAUCUGCGGCAAUGGGGGGAACCCUGACCGAGCAACGCCGCGUGUGUGAAGAAGGUUUUCGGAUCGUAAAGCUCUGUUGUUAAGGAAGCGGUACUUAACCAGAAAGGGACGGCUAACUACGUGCCAGCAGCCGCGGUAAUUC
rnacentral:rRNA from 1 species